GAUCCAGUGUAGUGUAGUGGUUUGAGUGUUGGACUAGGACUCCAAGAGACCAGGGUUCAAAUCCCUGCUUGAUCA